GCCCGGAUGGCGGAACUGGCAGACGCAGGGGACUCAAAAUCCCCCGAGGGCAACCUCUUGUGGGUUCGAUCCCCACUCCGGGCA
rnacentral:tRNA from 1 species